AAAUGCAAAUAUAGUAUUAUAAAAUGGGGCAAUGUAAUGAGAAAACGUUAACAACAGAUGAGAAAUACAUGCGAAAUAAUCACCCGGGUGCCAUAACGUACAUAGGAGGAUGGAAAAAACAUUUUGAUUUUUCAGGCAACUUUAAAUUAGAAGAACUGCAGUUCAUUAGGCGAAGUUUGCAAAGUAAGGAAGUUUUAAGCAAGGGAAGGAAAAAAAAAUCCAAGCCCAAUCAACGGCGAUAGCUGUGUGGAUAGAACAAGCAAAGAAGAGGGAACAAUACAGGGAAUAUUGGUUGAGGUAUUAAAUACAUUGGUAAAAAAAAGUAUACAUAAUGGCCUCUGAAGAAAUCGGUGGAAUCUAAUCAGAAUUAAAUGCGUCCAGAACUCAAGCUAUGGAGUUAGAUUUGAUUAAAGGUAGAAAAGUGCCUUUUCCAGAUUUGCCAAGCAUGUUUCACCAUUCACAUAGGCAUACAGGAACACAUGCACGUCAAUAGUUGACCGCGCACAGAAGCUGGAGUCCUCAAUCUAUACUACGUCCUUCAAACAAAUCAAGAAAACCCCACCAGAAAUCCUGCCGUACAAACAAUAAGCAGGAUAAUAACAAUUGCAUUGUGCUGUGGAACACAAUGUUCCUAUUGACAGUAAUGCGAUGAGCAUGGGCCAUUAUUUUGAAGUUAACCACCUGAAACGUGCAUUGAUGAGGACAGAAAAAAUAUAGACAAAGAAAGAAUAGAACGAGAUUCCCUAUUUGGGGGACUACAUACAGAAAAUAUUUUUGACAAAGAGGAUUAUCAGGGCGCAAAAAUAUAUUGGAAAUUAAGACAUUAAAUUGCAUUUCAAAAUAAAAAUACAUUUAUUAUUUUACACAAUUACAUCUUGUUUUAUUUGUUAUAAUAUGAAUUCAUUGUGAUGACACAGCCCUUAACAGGUUUCAAGGCCCGUGCUGGUUACAUAUUGGAGAGUCCAAAAACUGGACAAAUCAGUUGAUAAAAGUUGGAGGCAUCUUUCCAACUCAAAGGCACCUGUGGAAGACCAGUCUAUGACAACAUAGCCUAGUUGAUUGACUAAACAGAAGAACAAAAAAUUACAUAUGCACAUACAUUUUAAAACAUGGGAUCCAUAAAUGUGCAUGAUACAAAACGUUACAUAUACAUAAAGCGACUUCACACAUACAUGGGUAACCCUAGACUUGGUAAACAUCUAAGAGGUAGGAUAAUUCAGAACCCUGACCUAGCCGACAAUAGUCCAAAACAUUGGAGCCUAUGGUCAGUGUCAGCUCUAGCCUUUUGGGGACCCUAAGCAACAUUUUAUUUGGGGCCCCGACCCCCUAGCUGUCGGGUGCCCUAAGCGACUGCAUAUGUCGCUUAUGCUUAGAACCGGCCCUGCCUAUGGAAAAUAGUAUCAUUAGGGGCCAAGGCCAAUUACACAUUAAAUUAUAUUAAGAUAAAAUUGAUAACUAAUGUAAUGUCUUUUGAUAGAUUUUGGAGUAUGUGUGUGUGAGUGAGUGAGAGGGAGAGCUCAGUGAUUGGUUCCAUUUGUGUGUGUUUGUGUGUGUGCAUGGUUUACUCUGUGGGAGGGUAUGUGUGGAAGUGGAGAAUGUCACCUAAUGAAGGUAUAAAUUAAGUCGGUAUAUGUCACUUUGAAAGGUGUUGCAGACACAGAAAGUGGAUUGAAUACAAGGGAGUCUAAACCUACACUUGUUUGAUUCGCUCUGGCUGCAAGAUUGAGCCAUGGUCACUGCCAUGUCUCAACAGGAGGGAUGGAACUAAUAAUAAGGAAUGCGUUCCACGCAUCUCCAGGACUAAACUCUUAUUUGCUGUAAGCACAACCCUCAAGGUAACAUAAGGCCAAAACGGGGCAGAUGUCCUAGCGGUACUUACCCUUUUGAAAUCAUACACAUGGACUUCAUAGAAUUAACAAGAAGCACAAAUAAAUACAAAUACUGUCUAGUGUUAAUAGAUACGUUCUCCAAAUGGGUAGAGAUAGUACCAGCUAAAAAAGCAGACGCAUUGACAGUAGCCAAAGCCAUCUGUAAAGAAAUUGUUCCAAAUCAUGGUAUUCCGAGAGUAAUCUGGAGUGAUAAUGGGACUCAUUUUGUAAACGAAAUCAUACAGAACAUGAGUCAACAUUUAGGAAUUACAUUAAAAAAUCACUGUUCAUACCACCCCCAAAGUGCAGGGUUAGUUGAGCGUACGAACGGGACUAUCAAGCUAAGGCUUAGGAAAACCAUGGAACAAACAAAUAAAACAUGGCCGGAAUGUCUGCCGUUAGUCAAAAUGUACAUGAGAAUAGUACCAAACACAAUGGGCCUGACACCUUUCGAGAUAGUAUACGGGAGACCUUUCACAUUACCGUUGUGGGAGGGGGAACCAUGGCAGGAGAAUGAGGGGGAAUUGGACCCAUUGACAGAAUGGAUGUGCAAAAUGUUUAGAGAAAAGAGUGUGCAAAAUGCCAGUAACUUGCCAGUCUCCUUGUCUUCUCUUCCACAGGCUCUCCUGAAACCGGGUGACGAAAUCCUGAUAAAGGUCAUCAAAAGAAAGUCCUGGGCGACACCCAAGUGGGAAGGACCGUUCCGAGUACUCAUUACCACCCCAACUGCGGUAAAAAUCGCAGAACGAAGCACCUGGAUACAUCAGUCUCAGUGCAAGAAGUUGACACCAGACGCUGCCCUUGAGUAAGUGGGAAGACGGACGGUAUCAAAACCCUUGUCCGCCGAAGAAACCAACAGACACUCACUCACCAGCCACA